GUCGCACGAGCCUUCGGGCUAGCGGCGGACGGGUGAGUAACACGUGGGUAACCUGCCUCGUAGUGGGGAAUAACUCGUCGAAAGACGAGCUAAUACCGCAUGAGACCACCGGUGAGACUCCGGAUGGUGAAAGCUCAGGCGCUACGAGAGGGGCCCGCGGCCGAUUAGCUAGUUGGUGGGGUAACGGCUCACCAAGGCGACGAUCGGUAGCUGGUCUGAGAGGAUGGUCAGCCACACGGGGACUGAGAUACGGCCCCGACUCCUACGGGAGGCAGCAGCUAAGAAUCUUGCGCAAUGGGCGAAAGCCUGACGCAGCAACGCCGCGUGGGGGACGAAGGCCCUCGGGUCGUAAACCCCUUUUACGAGGGAAGAAGUUCUGACGGUACCUCGUGAAUAAGCCGCGGCUAACUACGUGCCAGCAGCCGCGGUAAUA
rnacentral:rRNA from 1 species